rnacentral:rRNA from 1 species
UACGUAGGAUGCAAGCGUUGUCCGGAAUUAUUGGGCGUAAAGAGCGCGCAGGCGGCCUAUCAAGUCAGAUGUGAAAUAACCAGGCUUAACCUGGUGGGGUCAUUUGAAACUGGUAGGCUAGAGUACAGCAGAGGAUAGCGGAAUUCCCGGUGUAGUGGUGAAAUGCGUAGAUAUCGGGAGGAACACCAGUGGCGAAGGCGGCUAUCUGGGCUGCAACUGACGCUGAGGCGCGAAGGCUAGGGGAGCAAACAGG